CUCAACUUGCUUUCUCUUUACGCCUCACCUUCAGCUGUCUUCUUAGAGCACUGUGAUACUGUAACGGGAAGGAAUGCAGAAGCGAAAGCUGCAUGUAAUAGCAAUCAACAAAGCGACAUGGCAGGCGUCACCUGCCUACAAUACAACAGCUGAACGCUGAUAGACAAAAGGCCUGCUCUGCUCGCUCGCCACCUCCUCCGGAUCAAGCCGCCGCCGGGGGCACGAGUCGGAGUCACCAUUCCACUAACACCAUAUCAGCAUCAGGAUUGUUUUUAUUUCUCUCUGACUAGUCGAUCAAAAGAGCGCAGCAGGUGUCUAUUUCCCGUAGGGUUCUACAUCAUCAGAAUAUAGUUCCGGCUGUCACUCUUGCCGUCCCCCCAAGUCGAGCCGCAUGUACCAACAGGUAAAAGCGGACACCCACCAUAUCGCUGCGUAGGAAAAAGCACAAUCAUUUGCGCCGUGAGUGC
rnacentral:lncRNA from 1 species